UCCAACCCCUGUGACAUACCUUAAUGUUGCCUCGGCGGAUCAGCCCGCGCCCCGUAAAACGGGACGGCCCGCCAGAGGACCCAAACUCUAAUGUUUCUUAUUGUAACUUCUGAGUAAAACAAACAAAUAAAUCAAAACUUUCAACAACGGAUCUCUUGGUUCUGGCAUCGAUGAAGAACGCAGCAAAAUGCGAUAAGUAAUGUGAAUUGCAGAAUUCAGUGAAUCAUCGAAUCUUUGAACGCACAUUGCGCCCGCUGGUAUUCCGGCGGGCAUGCCUGUUCGAGCGUCAUUUCAACCCUCAAGCCCCCGGGUUUGGUGUUGGGGAUCGGCUCUGCCCUUCUGGGCGGUGCCGCCCCCGAAAUACAUUGGCGGUCUCGCUGCAGCCUCCAUUGCGUAGUAGCUAACACCUCGCAACUGGAACGCGGCGCGGCCAUGCCGUAAAACCCCAACUUCUGAAUGUUGACCUCGGAUCAGGUAGGAAUACCCGCUGAACUUAAGCAUAUCAAUAAGCGGAGNAGGAGAUCAUUACCGAGUUUACAACUCCAAACCCUGUGAAUAUACCUUANNGUUGCCUCGCGGAUCAUCCGCCCGUANAAGGGAAGGCGCGAUGACAUACUCUAUGUUUCUUAUUGUAACUUCUUAGUAAAACAACUAUUAUCUAACUUUCACAACGUACUUUGGUACUUGCUUCGAUAAUAAGCACAAAUGUCGUAUAGUAAUGUGAAUUGCAAAAUUCAGUGAACACGUAUCUUGAACGCAAUGCGCUCGCUUGUUAUUUCGCGGCAUGCUUUCGAGCGUCAUUUCACCUUAGGCCGUGGUUUUGGGUUGAUGGGGAUCCGUCCUUCUUUCUGGGCUGUCUCCUACAAAUACAUGUGCGGCUUCUUCACCUCUUGCGUAAUAACUAAACCUU
rnacentral:rRNA from 1 species